rnacentral:rRNA from 1 species
CCUACGGGAGGCAGCAGUGGGGAAUAUUGCACAAUGGGGGAAACCCUGAUGCAGCGACGCCGCGUGAGCGAAGAAGUAUUUCGGUAUGUAAAGCUCUAUCAGCAGGGAAGAAAAUGACGGUACCUGAGUAAGAAGCUCCGGCUAAAUACGUGACAGCAGCCGCGGUAAUACGUCUGGAGCAAGCGUUAUCCGGAUUUACUGGGCGUAAAGGGAGCGUAGGCGGCCUGCCAAGUCUGAUGUGAAAUACCUGGGGUAAACCCCGGGGCUGCAUUGGAAACUGGCGGGCGGGAGUGCGGGAGAGGCAGGCGGAAUGCGUGGUGUAGCGGUGAAAUGCGUAGAUAUUAGGAGGAACACCAGUGGCGAAGGCGGCCUGCUGGACGGUGACUGACGCUGAGGCUCGAAAGCGUGGGGAGCAAACAGGAUUAGAUACCCGGGUAGUC